rnacentral:tRNA from 1 species
GAGGGUGUAGCUCAGUGGUAGAGUGUGUGCUUAGCAUGCACAAGGUCCUGGAUUCAAUCCCCAGUACUCCA